AACAAAUUGUCAACAAUCUAGCCAUUUUACUCCAUAAUUUGUCUCAUCUAAUCAAUCGUUUAAAAGCAACCAAACGAAAACCAAAUCUCUAAUCGUCUUGGCCUUUAUCUGCAGCGUUGCAGCGCAUCUACGUACUUGUCACGAGUUCGUCUAAGGCUGAUCGAGUAAGAGGAAUGCCAAUUCCCUUUGGUUCCCUCUGUCCUGUUCCCACCAACAGGCACUCACAUACAAAAACACGCGCACGCUUGUUGUACCCUUCCUAUGUGAUUGCCGGGGCCAACCAACGCCUAUAGGUUCGUACCACAUAACUAUAUCAACCUCGUGGUCUUCAACAGGCUUUUAAGCACAUCCACACACAUCACACACGCCCUCAAAAGAGACCAGAGGUCGAAAGUUCCCGGGGGAGUGCGGAUCCAUGACUGGCUGAGCGAGUAAGUGAGUACAUACACGAAUAUUUGUUGGCCUUUUCGGUUGUCCGUCCUCAUGAACCAGGACCCAAUCGGCUUCGGCUUUUACGGGGCCUUUUUCUCGAUCACGCGUUCGGUUUUCACUGCGGAAGCCUUGCUUAGUCAAGCAAGGCCGGGACCGAAAUAAAAAAAAAAGAGUUGCUGUGGAUCCGUCGUUGGUGAUUGAAGUGCCUUCAGUGCGAAUCCUGAACAAGGCCAGUGUGGAAAUUGUUGCACAUUGUGACCAUCAAGUAAUUAUUCGAUAUGGGUUGCGGCUCAAGCACACAAGUGGGAGCCACUGAUAAUCCCACGCCAACAGAUGAAUUGGACGAGAAUGGGUCGAAUUCAGGCACUAACCCUGUCGAUGGACAAGUUGUGGAUGUCGAAGGUGAAUCGAAUGGAAACCUUCUGGACAAAUCACCGUUACCCCCAAUCAAAGCAGGCGAUAAGGACAAUCCUCAUCCUACGGACGAGACCACGACCGAUGGAGUUUUGCGUCCCAAAACUAGCAAUCCUAAUCAUCGAUCGCCUCGUCGAUUACCCAAGUUAACUGGACCCAUUGGCAGCUUGCCCCAAGUCGAAGACAUGAAUGAGGACAGCUCUGAAGAAGUAGACACCACGGAGCGAGGUGUGGGAACAAAUUCCAACAUAGAUAGUGCAUCCAUCAGAUCUUUGAACACCUUGAAUCCAGAGAAGGACACGGAAGGAAAAGAGGAUGACGACUUAGACGUGGUUGCCACGCCUGCCAUCUCUGCCAAGGGCUCAAAAACCUCGGUGAGAUCAGCUCAGCCCACACCUGUCCCACCUUCAUCUAAAGACGGUUCCACAUUGUCAUUGAAGGCGGAAGGUGAGGCUGAAGAGGGAACGGCAGAAGAGAAACCAUCACGAAAAUCAUCCUUGCACUCCACUAAGAAAUCGACGUUGUCGUUGCGAAAAAAUUCGUCACAUUCAUUACUAAAGUCUUCGACUUCAUCAAGAAGAGCCUCUUCGACCUCGAAAAACGAACAAUCGGAGCAUCCGGAUGAAAGUGUAGAGGCGCCGGAAGUGGGAAAUAGUUCGCGUAGAGGAUCCUCAGAGGAGAAGGAUGACGAUCCCACGCCCCCUGCGGAUGAUCCCGCCAACAGUGGAACCGAAGAAGAGGGAACACCUCCGGAACCAGAAGGGUCAGAAAAUGGGGAAGAACCAGCGGACGAUCCCACCGACAGUGGAACCGAAGUAGAGGGAACACCUCCGGAACAAGAAGGGUCACAAAAUGGGGAAGAGCCAGAGGAGAGUGCCGAGCACGACGAGAACGAAGCCAUCGAAAAGGCAGAAGAGCAGAACGAACCAGAAGAUGAAGGCAUUCACGAAGAGAGUGAAGACAAACCUGCCGAUGGUGACAAAAUUGCAACUGAGCUAGCCGAUGCUCCGCCAGAAAUCGACAAUGAAACCCCCAUGACUGCCAAUGAUCUGGGAACCGCUGAUCCAUCACGAUCAAACAGUGCUGUACAAGUCUCAUAACAAUCUGGUUAUCAAACUCGUUUCAUUCGAGGGCCUGCAUCGUAAUGGAAUGGGCGGACUCUCAGCUAAACAUUUGAAGCCACCACCAAUUCGGUUCGAUCAAAAUUUUAGAUUAAAAACAGAUUGGACAACCAUUUCCAUUCGAUUGUAAAUAUCUUUUUCUAUUGUUUUGGUUCAGUGAUUCCGCACCGAAAUAUGACGACAAAUAAACACAAUUUCAAACACCAAAAUGGGACUCUCCUACUGGUCGAUGUAUUAAAUCCCUUCCAGAGGAUGAUCCAGUGGGUUUUGGUCUAGAAACUUCUUCUUCAUAUGUUUUUUGCUACGAAAUUGUAGAAAGUGGUGCGGAAUGAUUCGCAGUCCACCGGUCAAAAAUCCAGCCAUAUCCGAAAACGUACCAUGGGAUUGAAUGGUGUGAUUACA